rnacentral:rRNA from 1 species
CUUAAACACUAAUUUAAACCAACAAUGUUUAUAUCAUAACAUAAACUUCUACUAAAAAUUAAACCAUUUUUUUACCUUAGUAUGGGAGACAGAAAAGGUUCAACCCAAAGCAAUAGAAAAAGUACCGCAGGGGAAAGCUGAAAGAGAAAUGAAAUAACCCAUAUUAGCCAUAAAAAACAAAGAUUAGACCUG